rnacentral:rRNA from 1 species
CACGAACCGUACGAACGUUAUUCGGAAUUACUGGGCUUAAAGGGUUUGUAGGCGGCCUUGUAAGUCAGGUGUGAAAGCCCUCGGCUCAACCGAGGAACAGCGCUUGAUACUGCAAGGCUUGAGGGAGACAGGGGUAAGCGGAACUGAUGGUGGAGCGGUGAAAUGCGUUGAUAUCAUCAGGAACACCGGUGGCGAAAGCGGCUUACUGGGUCUCUUCUGACGCUGAGGAACGAAAGCUAGGGUAGCGAACGGGAUUAGAAA